GUUGAAAGACCGGUUCUUGUAGGAUCACCGAAGUUAAGCAACAUCGAGCCUGGUUAGUACCUAGAUAGGUGAUCGCUUGAGAAUACAAGAUGCUG